rnacentral:rRNA from 1 species
AGCGCGGUGGUCCCACCUGACCCCAUGCCGAACUCAGAAGUGAAACGCCGUAGCGCCGAUGGUAGUGUGGGGUCUCCCCAUGCGAGAGUAGGGAAUUGCCAGACA